CUCCUCCCAGCCCCUGGCAACCACCCCACUCCACUUUCUGUCUCUACGAACGGACUACUCCAGGAACAUCAGGACAACUGGGCCUCACCCCAUAUUUCUCUCCAUCCUCCUAUGUGGCCUUGAAGCAAGCCAGCAAACAGCCUGACAUGUUAUCCUGGAUGGAUGAGUGUGCCCUGUUGACACAGCUUCAAAGAACAUCAACCAUAUGGAAGCAGUUUCGCCCGUCUCCCCAAAGAUACCUGGGAAUGAUAAAAGUGACAAGAAAUGGCACCAGGGACUCCUUCUGUAUACCACUUGCCUUCACCUAGUGGAAAUAGUGAGACUAGAAUGUAAAUGUGUUCAGAAAGAAGCCAGACUUUCCCAAAAGUCAUCAGAAGACCACAGUUCAGCAGCCCGUACACACUCUUCCAUGGUUCUGGCCUCACCUACCUGUCUUAAGUCCAGAGUGAUUGUGACCCAGUGAUACUCUCUCCCAUUCUGAAUGCUGGGACUUUGCCACCAGUUAUUGGUGCCAUCUAUGGCAUGUGAUAUUGGAUGGCGUUCUGUUAAAAGAAAAUAAAAAACAUGAAUUCCUCUUGGC